rnacentral:lncRNA from 1 species
GAGAUUCAUCUGCUCGCGCUGACAACGUUGGUUUCGAGGGGAAUGUCGAUGUUCUUGUCAAGGAAAACAAGACGUGAAGGAUUUUCCUGCCAGACACAUUGCAGAUAUUAAAUCCAUGAAAGCCCCUGCUCUCACUGAUAUCAACAGGAAUGAUCGGACCCCAAAGCCACACCUGCAAGCCACAAGAGCAGCACCUUCAAGCCUCCUGCCUGCACCCUCCAUCUGCUGGGUCUUGGCCACUUCCACCUGCACCAAAGCCUGGAGUCCCUCUGCCAGGUUUGCCUCUAUUGCCCAUGCCACCCAAAAUCCUGACAGCGAAGUUCGAUUGCAUGCUCUGGCCACACAGAGAAUACGUGAUUUACCCUUUAGCCCAUGCAAAUUUGGGUCCCGAGGCAGAAAGCACCUAAGCAAAUAGGUUUCAGUCCAGCAAAUCAUUUAAGAAUACCACUCACUUUCAAGUCUGCACUGAGUCGACACUGGCGUACUUUAACCAGGGGCAAAAGUCUGUCCCGUUAACGUAACGUCUAUGAGAAAGGUGCAUUGUCCCAAAGCCGCAGCUUCCUGCUGGAAUGAAAAGCCUCUAGCUAAAGUACUCAUAAACAGCGCCACAUUUGGUGAGCUUUUAUUACAUUAAAAAAAAAAUAUUUAAAAACAUGUUAAAUUGCCCUUGCAUCUUUGGACCAUAUCCUGCAGCCACUCCAGGGGACUAGAUUUAACAGCCAGUGGGAAAAACUCCAGUUGACUUCCAUAAACACUAGACCACACCCUUUCUGCAUGCAGACUAGUCCUUCCAGGACCCAGCUUUCAUAAUUCCACCUAAACCAAAAUAGUUCCUAUAAACAAUGAGGUGUUUGUGUGUAUAAUGGGAAGGGAGACUAAUUAAAAAGAGGAGGAAGCAGAUCCUUUUGUGUGAAUUCAAGGGGAAUCCAUUCCCUUCUCUAUGAAUUGCUUCCCUCGCGGGGCCAGUAAGUCAUUGGAAAGGUGACUCAGAGAUGACAUUAGGGAGCUGUCCUUCACAACUGUCUCCAGCAUAAUUUUGGCAUCAACGGUUUCUUUAAUUGAAUCUGAUUUAGAUGCAAAGUCCACUGACACUUCAUUUUUUCUUAUGGUUUAAUUUAGCAUUUAGUUUCAGUUGUAAUCUGAUUUUAUUACAGUUGUUGCUGGUAGAAAAUCUAUCCACCUAUUACCAGCACUACAUAAAUUCAGUGGCUGUCUUAAAAAACAUUUCUCACACAUAUGGGCUUCAACAUUUCAUAUGUAAUGUGUCUACUUG